UUCAGUUGAUCUGCCUGCCUCAGCCUUCCAAAGUGCUGGGAUUACAGGCGUGAGCCACCGUGCCGGGCCAAAUCUCCAGUUCUUGAAUGACAUCUGAAUAUCUGCUUCUGUCCAUGUUCAUCACCAUGUUCAUUGUAUUUGAAAACAUCACCUUUCUCAUCCCAGUUACUUACUGGUCUCCUGCUUCCACUCUUGCAUAUACACACAUGCACACACAUGCGGACACAGUUUAUUCUUCAUAGGGCAGCUGGGGUGCACACUUUUAAGUAUAAAUCCUCUAAUGGCCUCUUACUACAUUGGAAUAAAAUCCCAUCCCCUAGCCUGCCGUUGACAGUGCCUGGGCUGGCCCAGACUCCCUCUCCUUCUACUCCUGCCCAUACUUACCAUGCUUGGGCACUCUGAUGUUUGCACCAGUAACUCCCUCCAGCUGGAAUGGUCUUCCUUGAUUAUCCUGUAGCUGGGUUGUUUUUGUCACUCAAGGUCUCAGUUUGGGGCUGCCCCCCUUAGAGAGAGCUUCCUGAACCCCAUCCUGACAGGAGGCUAUGGUCACUCUUGGCUCUGAUCAACCAGCUACAGUUCUGCAAUAGCAGUUACUGUUCUCCAAAAUCAUAAUUUUAUACUUGUCCACUGCUUUUAUUCCCACCCGUUCCCCUAAAAUAUUUGACAAGACUUUGCUUAUUCUUUCCAUUGAUGGGUGUCACUAGAACAAUGUCUAGCACGUGGGUACUCAAUAACAAUUUUUCAAAAGAUUCUGGAAGAUAAUAAAAAUAUAUUCUCUUUGGCUGAAGUAAUUGGAUUUUGUCAACCCUGGGGCCUGAUUGGCAUAAUACAUCUAUAGAUAUGAGUAGAAAUGUCUCAACCUUCUUCCCUGGGGAGUUUGAGCUUGUGAAGUCUGACUCUCUAGGUUGACAUUUCUGCAGAUUGGGUAGAGUUAAGUAGGUUUAAAUUGAUAAAGUAAAAUGGCAGUGUUAUCCAAGAAGUUAAAAUAGAGAAUGCAGGGUAUAAGCACAUAACUUACAUUUUUAAAUUACACAAAGGUAUAUGCAAAAUGUGCACCCAUGAAUAAAAUUUAUAUCGAUGUAGCUAUGGCCAGGUGCACACACAAGUCCAGAUAACUAUAGCAGUGGGUGGAAACAAAAACUUGAGUAUUACAAGCAAAACCUAACACCAAAAAUAGUUUACCCUAUUUUAGAGAUGUAGUAGUCAGAGUCAUAAGGUAAAGAGAUAAAAACAAAACUCAGAGUGUGUACAUCCAAAUAAAUAUUUCUCUCAAUAUGGUCUUCAGAACACCAUACAAUAUAUUCUGCUUAAAUAGGCGUAUGGAUUGAUUCAAGUGACUUGUUUUUGGUAGGUUGCUAGAACAACUUAGAACAUUCUAGAACCUCCUAGAACAGAAUGAUUAUUAUCAGUGGUGGAAACAUCUGUACCUCUUCAAAUACCCUCUUGGUAAAAAUGUAUGCUUGAAAGGCAAAAUGAUUUAUUUGUGCCUCACGACUAAUUAGCAAUGAAGAGAAUUCAGAAAAAGCGAGCAAGGAGCUUAGGAUGAAAAGCUAGAGAAGAGGUGAGAGUUGACCUGGGUGGGAUGCGAAGAGCUGGCAGGACAAAGGCAGGCACCCCAAAUGGAGAGAACCUGAGGAGAGUGCAGACCUCUUGUGGAACGUAGAAUUGAGUGUGGAUAAGCCUGGAGUAAGAGUUUCAAUUUCAGGACAAAUGAUGGAACAAGAUUUUCUUUUUCCUUUGGACAAGCAAUUUACCUGAAUUCUUUUGGUGGCACAGUUUGGUAAACCUAAAGAAAUCAAAGUCAAAAACUUGGAUUCUUUUGAGUAUUCGUUAUCAGGAUUAUUCCCUUGUUGUAUCCUUUUAUUGACGUCAAUAGCACAAAGGAUACUAGGCUGAAAAGAAGAGUGGAACAUCUCCAGCAAUAUUUAGGGAGCUGGGAAGUGAAGAGGCAUCUUCAGGCUUAGCUGGAUCCUCUGCUUCAGUGUCUCACAAAGCUGCAAAGAUGUUAGCCAGGGCUACAUUCUCAUCUGAAGACCCAGCUGGGGAAGGAGCCAUUUCCAAGCACAUGUCAUUGUCAGCAGAAUUCAGUUCCUUGCAGUUGCAGGACUGAGGGACUUGGUUUCUCACCUGCUGUCAACUGGAGGAUCCUCAGUUGCAAGAGGCCACCCUCAAUUCUUCACCAAGUAGGCCACCCCAACAUGACUACUAGCUGCAUUAACCAGCAAGUGAAAGUGUCUUCCUAUAUUGUGUAAUUACAGAAGUGACAGCCCAUCCCCUUGGUUAUAUUGUACUGAGUAAAAACAGUUCCUGCUCACACACAAGAGAAAAGGGUCACACGAGGGUGUGAAAAUCUGAAGGCAGGGAUCACAGCAGCUACCCCGGAGCCUGGUUGUGUCUGAUGCCUGGUUCCUCCAGGCACUGUGUCUGUGUUUAAUGCCACCGUAUCCAAUGCCUCUUUCCUCCUUUCCUAGCUCACCACCAUUCCUUGUUUUGAUUCCUAGAUUGAAAAGUCAUGCAUAACCCCUGCUGUCCAGCAAAAUCUUGUCUAUUCAGUUAAAGGCAGUACUUUAGAAUUUCGUAGAAAUAAAAUAGGAGAAGACAAUUCAUGCUGGAAAAUAUUAAAAGUGGUAGUUUAUAACAAGUUAAGCCGUCUUUGGUAAAAUAAACAAGUAAAAUUUCAUAAAAUGGGAGGCUGUCGUGUUCUCUUGUUUGUGCUUUUGAUGCCAUUUUGUUGGAUAUGUUUGGAAAAUGAUUGCGACUCUAAAUCAAUGAGUACAAAAGCACUCAUGAAAUAUGAGCACUACAAAAUAAUUUCAUUCAAUAGCCUCAAAAUGGUUGUGAAUUUGUGUUCCCCUAAGGGUGAUUAAAAAUAACCACAACCCCCACAUGAAGCAGAAUGGCAUUAAUGCCGGUGUGAAUCAUCCUGGGCGGUUUGGCCAUGUUUGAUAAGCCUUAUCUGCAUCUCAGGUCUCUGGUGUCUGGGGUCUUCAGAAAAUGUUGGGGUCUUUAAAUUAUAAGUCUGCUGCUGCUGAUGCUGCUGCUGCCAAAGAUGAUGGUACUAGCUAAUAUUUACUGUGUACUUACUGCAUGUCAUUUACUCUAAAUGGUUCAUUUAUGCAAUUUAAUACAAAAAGGAACUGUUUUUAUUUCUAUUUCACAAAUGUAGAAACAGCCUUAGAGAGAAUUAGGUCACAUAGCUAGCGAGUAGCAGGGCCUGGAUUCUAAUCAUAGAGAAGUUCAACCUCAGAACCUCAGAAUUUGCUUUGAGGAACAAGGAACUUGAAGAUGCAAAUAAGAAGGCUAACAGUGGGUCUAAAUACUCUCUUCAAAAUGUCACAGGACUACAUGUUGAAGAUGCAUACAUUGUAUCUGUGACCAAGGAAUGGCAUCAGCCCUUGCUUCUGUACUUGCCCCAUCCUUGCUGCUGCCCAGGCAUCAAGCAAGCUAUCAUUCCUUCCCUUCAAGUCAAUCAGCAGGGAGUAAUUAGGAUAUUUUUCAUCCCCCCUACCCAACCCCACAGCGAGUCCUUUGUGGGGUUCAGUAAAGUCAGGUUAUACCAUGCCAUAAAGCAGAGUAGCCAGGCUACUUCUGAGGUAGGCUGGCCCUUCUCAAUAUGUCAUGGGCCCUGUGGGCUGGGUUCCUUCUGCCUGGUCCCAUUGACCCCUCAUUAGGGGUACCAGGAUUAUCUUGGUCUCCUCAAGCCUCAGCCUCCCAACUUGAUUCCAAAGUCUGAUGAAGUUAACAGAAACAGAAUACUGGUCACCAAUAGAUCAAGAUGUACACACGAGACAGUGAGUUCACCCUUACGCGUAACACACGAUUCAUUAAAUUAUAAUGAAUGAAGUAAGAUCAACUGUCUGUGGCAUGCUGAUGCUGAGUAACAUUUAACAUCUUGAUCAGAUGUGGUGAAGAUAGGCUGUGCAGAAGGAGAAAACAGUGCUGUGACUAGAAGACGAGAAUGUGGAGGGAACACAGCCAUAAAGCAAGAACAGAGGAUCGUUGACUUACAAUUUUUUUAUGUAUUCAGAGAGUACUCCCAGCACCAGUGUAGGAGAAUUAGAUACUGAUGAGAAAUCACAAGCAGAGUUUUUAUGUAGUUGUCAUGUAGGAGACUUCAAGGGGAUCUGAUUACAGAUCACUGACUUUAAAAAUUAUUUUAAAAAUAUAAACCAUUUGUAUUUUAUACUUUUUUGAUGCUAAUUCAUUCAAAAAUGCAUGGUAUGGAUCUUCAUAGACAUUUAUCUAAAAAUGCAAAACAACUGGCUUUAGUCAGCCAUGAUCUAGGCAUAUCUAGCUUGUUAUCUUUAAAUACUGCCCAUUUGUUCCUUUAACUUGUUCCAUCAUGCUCAAAACCUAAACAUAACAGAAAAGAAGCUUGUGUCCAUGAGAAAGGGGCUAGUGGAGUCUGUGUCCAGGGAUUAACUUGUAGAAGAAGACUCCAGACAGGAGAAAGAGCCUGCCAGAAGCUCUUUUCUGUAUUGCUGCCUGGACCCACUCUCUCAUCCAGGAAGAGCAGCAGCAAUGUAUCACAGCAGUGGAACUUUCUGGAACUUUAUGAUGCAGCUCUCAGUAAAAUCCUAGAUAGAAAUGGGUAAUUUAGACAUAGGUUUCAUAUACCCACACAUCAACACAAUUCUCACUAUCUCUAUCAAAAGGAAAGUGCAUAGGUCUAUACCUCCACCCCCAAAUUUAUGUCUAUUCGAAGAUAGUGACCAUUUUCUCUUGCUCUUUUUCUUCAAAU